CAAAUUAAAGCUUAAGAAGCAUUUUAGUUACAUUAAAAAGUUAAUUGUUUAUUCAAUUUAAUUUGA
rnacentral:tRNA from 1 species